UACGUAGGGACCAAGCGUUGUUCGGAUUUACUGGGCGUAAAGGGCGCGUAGGCGGCAAUUCAAGUCAGUUGUGGAAAUCUCCGAGCUUAACUCGGAACGGUCAACUGAUACUGUUUUGCUAGAGUACAGAAGGGGCAAUCGGAAUUCUUGGUGUAGCGGUGAAAUGCGUAGAUAAUCAAGAGGAACACCUGAGGUGAAGACGGGUUGCUGGGCUGAUGACUGACGUGGAGGCGCGAAAGCUGGGUAGCAAACGGG
rnacentral:rRNA from 1 species